rnacentral:lncRNA from 1 species
CGAGGGGCCCAGGCGCGCGGGCUGGCCGCGCGCGUGGGGCCGAGUGGCCGAGACGCGCGGGGCCGAGAAGCCGAGACCGACCCCAGAAGUCACUGCUGCUGCUGGUGUAGGUCGGCUGCAGUGGAGCAACCAAGGAGAAAGCUAACGUACCGUCAUUUCGGGCCCUCCUUCUAGCGCCAUUAUGUUACGGUAAGUAACUUUUUUAGCCGUGGCCUCGGGGCCGACGCG